CUGUCACAGCCACAGCUUAAGGCUGUGGACUGUGGUAGUGCUUCCUGUUCUCUCUCUCCUAGGUGUGUUCAUGGUGAAGCUAGCAGCAGGUGUGCUGCAUCGUAAUCAGCAGAUGAGCUGCAGGUGGAGCUGAGUGACUGGUCUCUGAACGUCUCUAUAAAAGCAGAUGGCACCCAUCAUUUGAAAGUGGACUGUCGUCUAAUCUCCAAAAGCUGAUUCCUGCCUGCUGAGUUGCCUUGGUUCCUUCGUCUGCUGGUUUUCCGCCCAACCACGGAUUCUGCCUUCUUCUCCGGAGGAUCUCCACCUGACGCCAGCUUAACCUGGGAACAUCAACGUACACCUGGAAAGAGGACUUUCUCUGGAAACAUCUGCCACGACCGGGUUCUACUGACACCAACUUACCAAGCACAUGGUGAACACCAGGAGGGAGAGUUCUGGAUGAAGCCAAACCAAAAGGACUGUUCUCAGCUCAUCAGCUAAGUCUCCAAGCCCUAGUAUCACCAGACUCUUUGUAUUGUUAAUACGUCAAAUUAAAUAAUCAGCGUUCCGUAUUUAACUUAAUGUAUUUUAUGCUCUGCAUAGGAUAGCUUUAGUCUGGGGUUUCAGUUCAUAAUUACUGGUAGUCUAGGCUGGGUUAGUUUGGUAUUUUCAGUUGUUUCUUGGUGUUUCCAUACGUGGGUUAACCUUAGUUUCAGUCUCCAUGUUCAUGUAGUUAUUCCUCCGUACCUCUAGAUGGGUUUUGUUUUUGAGUUCUAGUAGUAGUUUAGUUCUUCUUUGUCUAAGAUUCUAGUUCCGGUUCCUGUAUAGAGUUUCUUGUUGUGAAUAAAAGCAUUUUUAAAACGUUCACGCUGGAGUUAUUUCAUUUCCUGCUCCUGAGCCUUUUGAACCUGCCGUAACGCUCUUUCACUCAUGCAACGUUGUUAAAAUUAGGCACAUCCUGUCACUAAUGCUGAAGAACUAGUCCAAAGAAAGAGCUAUUCUCCGCUCCACUGUUGGAUUUUCUUAUUACCAGGAUAUCCCAACAACUCCACGAAAAGCCUCCACUGAAAGUACUGACAGCGACCAG
ensembl:lncRNA